UACAGAGGGUGCGAGCGUUAAUCGGAAUUACUGGGCGUAAAGCGCACGUAGGUGGCUUUGCAAGUCGAUUGUGAAAUCCCCGGGCUCAACCUGGGAACUGCAGUCGAGACUGCUUUGCUUGAGUAUGGGAGAGGGAGGUGGAAUUUCCGGUGUAGCGGUGAAAUGCGUAGAUAUCGGAAGGAACAUCAGUGGCGAAGGCGACCUCCUGGACCAAUACUGACACUCAAGUGCGAAAGCGUGGGGAGCAAACAGG
rnacentral:rRNA from 1 species